rnacentral:rRNA from 1 species
GAUGAACGCUGGCGGCGUGCCUAACACAUGCAAGUCGAGCGUGAUUGUGUGGAUUGAAGCUUCGGCAGAGAGAAACACAUGAAAGCGGCGGACGGGUAAGUAACGCGUGGGCAACCUGCCCCAUACAGCGGAAUAGCCACUGGAAACGGUGAUUAAUGCCGCAUAAGACCCCGGUGUCGCAUGACACAGCGGUCAAAGAUUUAUCGGUAUGGGAUGGGCCCGCGUCUGAUUAGCUAGUUGGUGAGGUAACGGCUCACCAAGGCGACGAUCAGUAGCCGACCUGAGAGGGCGGACGGCCACACUGGAACUGAGACACGGUCCAGACUCCUACGGGAGGCAGCAGUGGGGAAUAUUGCACAAUGGGCGCAAGCCUGAUGCAGCAACGCCGCGUGAGUGAAGAAGGCCUUCGGGUCGUAAAGCUCUGUCCUGUGGGAAGAAAAGAAUGACGGUACCACAGGAGGAAGCCCCGGCUAACUACGUGCCAGCCGCCGCGGUAA